rnacentral:tRNA from 1 species
GCGGAUGUAGUUCAAUGGUAGAACUUUAGCCUUCCAAGCUAACUACGUCGGUCCGAUUCCGAUCAUCCGCUCCA